rnacentral:rRNA from 1 species
UGUGUAGGCGGGAGUGCAAGUCAGAUGUGAAAACUAUGGGCUCAACCCAUAGCCUGCAUUUGAAACUGUGCUUCUUGAGUGUCGGAGAGGUAAAUGGAAUUCCCAGUGUAGCGGUGAAAUGCGUAGAUAUUGGGAGGAACACCAGUGGCGAAGGCGAUUUACUGGACGACAACUGACGCUGAGACACGAAAGCGUGGGGAGCAAACA